rnacentral:rRNA from 1 species
UGCAGUCGAGCGCGCUCUUCGGAGUGAGCGGCGGACGGGUUAGUAACGCGUGGGAACGUACCCAGAUCUACGGAAUAGCCUCGGGAAACUGAGAGUAAUACCGUAUACGCCCUUCGGGGGAAAGAUUUAUCGGAUUUGGAUCGGCCCGCGUUAGAUUAGAUAGUUGGUGAGGUAACGGCUCACCAAGUCUACGAUCUAUAGCUGGUUUUAGAGGAUGAUCAGCAACACUGGGACUGAGACACGGCCCAGACUCCUACGGGAGGCAGCAGUGGGGAAUCUUGGACAAUGGGCGCAAGCCUGAUCCAGCCAUGCCGCGUGAGUGAUGAAGGCCUUAGGGUCGUAAAGCUCUUUCGCCAGAGAUGAUAAUGACAGUAUCUGGUAAAGAAACCCCGGCUAACUCCGUGCCAGCAGCCGCGGUAAUACGGAGGGGGUUAGCGUUGUUCGGAAUUACUGGGCGUAAAGCGCGCGUAGGCGGACCAGAAAGUUAGGGGUGAAAUCCCGGGGCUCAACCCCGGAACUGCCUCUAAAACUCCUGAUCUAGAGUUCGAGAGAGGUGAGUGGAAUUCCGAGUGUAGAGGUGAAAUUCGUAGAUAUUCGGAGGAACACCAGUGGCGAAGGCGGCUCACUG